ACAAUGAUGGCCGAGUGUAUAAGGCGUUGGACUUAAGUUCCAAUGUACGAAUGUACGCGUGGGUUCGAUCCCCACUCCUGGUA
rfam:Nematostella vectensis strain CH2 x CH6 NEMVEscaffold_350_Cont24646, whole genome shotgun sequence.